rnacentral:rRNA from 1 species
GGGUGAGUAACACGUGGGUAACCUGCCCAAGAGACUGGGAUAACACCUGGAAACAGAUGCUAAUACCGGAUAACAACACUAGACGCAUGUCUAGAGUUUGAAAGAUGGUUCUGCUAUCACUCUUGGAUGGACCUGCGGUGCAUUAGCUAGUUGGUAAGGUAACGGCUUACCAAGGCAAUGAUGCAUAGCCGAGUUGAGAGACUGAUCGGCCACAUUGGGACUGAGACACGGCCCAAACUCCUACGGGAGGCAGCAGUAGGGAAUCUUCCACAAUGGACGAAAGUCUGAUGGAGCAACGCCGCGUGAGUGAAGAAGGGUUUCGGCUCGUAAAGCUCUGUUGGUAGUGAAGAAAGAUAGAGGUAGUAACUGGCCUUUAUUUGACGGUAAUUACUUAGAAAGUCACGGCUAACUACGUGCCAGCAGCCGCGGUAAUACGUAGGUGGCAAGCGUUGUCCGGAUUUAUUGGGUGUAAAGCGAGUGCAGGCGGUUCAAUAAGUCUGAUGUGAAAGCCUUCGGCUCAACCGGAGAAUUGCAUCAGAAACUGUUGAACUUGAGUACAGAAGAGGAGAGUGGAACUCCAUGUGUAGCGGUGGAAUGCGUAGAUAUAUGGAAGAACACCAGUGGCGAAGGCGGCUCUCUGGUCUGCAACUGACGCUGAGGCUCGAAAGCAUGGGUAGCGAACAGGAUUAGAUACCCUGGUAGUCCAUGCCGUAAACGAU